ACCUCAGCCUAAAAGAGAGAAACAAGCAUGAAGCUGGCCUGCCUCCUAAAAACACACACCAGGGCUCCUGGAGGGCAGGGCCUGGAGCUCUUUCUCGUAUGAUCUUGCCAGCAGAGUGCGGGGAUGAAAGACUGCUAUAUUUUGAUAAUCAAAAGGAUAAUAAACAACCACCUCAAUGGGCCAAGGCUGUGGGGUGGAGAGGCGGCUCCAGUGCCAGGAGCCGAGCUGCCAGCCCCACGCCCUGAUAAGGUCUGCAGUGGGAAUUAAAUCACUUCCUCCUUCGGGGCAGCUGAACCGCAUGAAGUGUGAGGCCCACCUGAGUUGGCACAGAAGCAAGGCCAGGGUGCGGCAGGCAAAGGUGCGGCGCCCUGUUCUGUGGUAUGCCAACCUGCUGCACGCUCAUGGAGUAAGUCAGGGGGCAAGUUUGGUGGUCAGUGACCCAGGGAAUAAGAAGGAAGUGGCUGGGGUUAAGAUGCCAGACCCUGGCCAACGGGUUUGUAGUGGGGGUGGGGGUGGGGGUACGGAACAAGGAAGUGUUAUUCAGCCCAGAUCCCCCUGCGCCUCCCCCAGCCCCACGCCUCUCUUCCUCUCUCCUGGGCUGCAGAAGCUCUGAGCAGAGUUGCCCUCCCAGCCAGGCCCACUUAUCUCAGCUUGGCCAGAGCUCUGCCAACAAUCCAGGGCAGUCUCAUGUGACCCAGCCCCCCCCACAGAGGAGGGGCCUCAGGUGAGGCCCAGGCAGCCCAGGAAGGACUGGAGCACAAGGUGGAAGGCAGAGGACCUGCCCCUCAGCUGCUCUCUCCUGCCCUGAGGCCGCCUGGUAAACCGAUGAAGGAUGAGGAAAUAGAGCAGCUAGACUGGGUGUCAGGCCAAAGGGAGGGCAAUUCUCCCCUCCCCAAGGAAGUACUGCUCUGCUGAGAAAACUCGUCACCCUGGCAUGCCCCGAGCCCAGCCCUGGAAGCAGCCAGCCCUUUAUUGGCAUGGGGCUGCUCCCUGUUAACACACCCUCUGCCUCCUUCCCCCAUACCUGUGGGCUCUAAUGAGCGCCUGUCGGCAGGCCCUGGGCUGAGUCACCCACACUAGCAACAGGUCUCUUCUUCCUCCACAAUCGCGCCCCACGCCUGCAUUCAGUUAACCAGCACCUGCCCGGGCGCCUCUCCCCCAGACACACUGGGGGCCGGGGAGCUACGCCUGCUGCUACGGCCCAGGGUGGUGGGGAAAGGAGACGGUGUGCUGACACACAAGGCAGGGCUGCCCGCAGACAAGUCCCCAGAGGAAUCUUUGGCUCCCCAGUGGCCCUGGGGUGUUGGCCACGGCUGCCCCAACUCCUGCAUGCGGAUGCUGCAAUUACCUGAGCACGAAACCCGGCUUCCCACCUGACUGAGUCAGCUGAGAACAACAACACACCUCCACGCCACACCGCCACACCAGCACAGCCAGCAGGGCACGCAUCAGAGUCGGGGAGCCACGGGGGACAGAGGCAGGGCCACGGCCAGAGGGUGAGCUGGGGCCGUGAGGAGCUGGGGCAGAGGCCGUUCCUAUCACCUGAGAAGAUUCAUCCCUCACCCCCUGGUGCUCCUCUCACUCCGCUCCAAAAGUACCAGAACCAGCAAACUCACCCUCCAAGCAAGACUGAGCAACCUUCCCAUGAUGCUGGAAAGACAGCAGCGGGCAUCACCAGUGAAUACCAGCCUUCGCCUGAACAACCCCAGACCCCACACCUGAGCUUUACGGUCUGAACAGACGCCCUCCACUAGCAAUCUAGGGAGAACCCUCCAAAAUGUGUCCCCCUUGAGAACGGACAAGCAGGGCGGCCUGCUCCCUGCAGCCAUGUCCCCAGCCUGUGGGAGGCUCUCUUCGAGGGCCUCUGGGGAGUGCUGCCUGCAACAGUCAGGGCGAAGAGCAGCCUCCAUGGCGAGCUCUACGGGGCUGUCCUCCCCGGGCAGUGGGAAAGUGGAAGGCUGUGCAGAGUGGUGCUGGCUCCCCGAGAUCCAGUGUCCCCACCAGAACCCUUGAGCCACAGAAAGUACCUGUUCUUGCUGAGAGGAGGUAGCGUGAGGUGACCCAUGGAUCCCCUCAGG